CACCCCGCAACAGAAGGCGAGUUCAAGGCAGGGGCGCUGGUUUCAGGCCUUACGGCUGCAAAGUCCCGCCCCCUGCCACACACACACAAUAGACUGUUUCCCUAUUUGCCACUUGAAGAUGAUAAUAACUGCUUCAUGGAAGUGACGUACUGUACAUCUAGUAGAGAUGAAAUGCUGAACAUAUUGUAAUGACAAGGGAAGGAAGAAAAAUUGUGGAGCAGCUUGUGUUUAGAUUUUAUAAACUAUUUCUUUCAUUAAGCUGAUUUUCUGGCCUACAAAUUCUGCUACCGUGAGAUCCACUGGAAGAUAUGGCCAUGUCAUUAAAUUCAUAGUGAAGACUAUUAGAUGUACUUGAGUUUUGAAUUAAAGUGAUGAACCAAAAAUGAA